GUUAUAUGGUAAUCGUGAACAAUAGCGUCAUUGAUUACAUGCUUUAAACGGAUCAAUUCGCAGUUCAGACGACGACAAUAACAGAAGACUGUCCUUUGAGGUAUAAUCGACCAUUUCACUUUGCUGGAAUAAAUAAAAAA
rnacentral:lncRNA from 1 species